rnacentral:rRNA from 1 species
UACGUAGGGCGCAAGCGUUAUCCGGAAUUAUUGGGCGUAAAGAGCUCGUAGGCGGUUUGUCGCGUCUGCUGUGAAAACUCGGGGCUUAACCCCGGGCCUGCAGUGGGUACGGGCAGACUAGAGUGCGGUAGGGGAGACUGGAAUUCCUGGUGUAGCGGUGAAAUGCGCAGAUAUCAGGAGGAACACCCGGUGGCGAAGGCGGGUCUCUCGGUCG